rnacentral:rRNA from 1 species
UAAGGAAUAUUGGUCAAUGGACGCAAGUCUGAACCAGCCAUGCCGCGUGGAGGAUGAAGGCCCUCUGGGUUGUAAACUUCUUUUAUGGGGGACGAAAUCACUUAUUCUUAAGUGUCUGACGGUACCCCAGGAAUAAGCACCGGCUAACUCCGUGCCAGCAGCCGCGGUAAUACGGAGGGUGCAAGCGUUAUCCGGAUUCACUGGGUUUAAAGGGUGCGUAGGAGGGCGGAUAAGUCAGUGGUGAAAUCUUCGAGCUUAACUCGGAAACUGCCGUUGAUACUAUUUGUCUUGAAUAUCGUGGAGGUGAGCGGAAUAUGUCAUGUAGCGGUGAAAUGCUUAGAUAUGACAUAGAACACCAAUUGCGAAGGCAGCUCGCUACACGAAUAUUGACUCUGAGGCACGAAAGCGUGGGGAUCAAACAGG